rnacentral:rRNA from 1 species
AUUGAACGCUGGCGGCAGGCCUAACACAUGCAAGUCGAGCGGAUGAAGGGAGCUUGCUCCUGGAUUCAGCGGCGGACGGGUGAGUAAUGCCUAGGAAUCUGCCUGGUAGUGGGGGAUAACGUCCGGAAACGGGCGCUAAUACCGCAUACGUCCUGAGGGAGAAAGUGGGGGAUCUUCGGACCUCACGCUAUCAGAUGAGCCUAGGUCGGAUUAGCUAGUUGGUGGGGUAAAGGCCUACCAAGGCGACGAUCCGUAACUGGUCUGAGAGGAUGAUCAGUCACACUGGAACUGAGACACGGUCCAGACUCCUACGGGAGGCAGCAGUGGGGAAUAUUGGACGAAGGGCGAAAGCCUGAUCCAGCCAUGCCGCGUGUGUGAAGAAGGUCUUCGGAUUGUAAAGCACUUUAAGUUGGGAGGAAGGGCAGUAAGUUAAUACCUUGCUGUUUUGACGGUACCAACAGAAUAAGCACCGGCUAACUUCGUG